rnacentral:rRNA from 1 species
UACAGAGGUCUCAAGCGUUGUUCGGAAUCACUGGGCGUAAAGGGUGCGUAGGCGGGUCUUUAAGUCAGGGGUGAAAUCCUGGAGCUCAACUCCAGAACUGCCUUUGAUACUGAAGAUCUUGAGUUCGGGAGAGGUGAGUGGAACUGCGAGUGUAGAGGUGAAAUUCGUAGAUAUUAGGAAGAACACCGGUGGCGAAGGCGGCCCACUGGCUCGAUACUGACGCUGAGGUGCGAAAGCGUGGGGAGCAAACAGG